rnacentral:tRNA from 1 species
ACCCCUGUGAUGCAAUAGGUAGACAUACUUUGUUGAGCGCAAAGUUUAUGCAGGUUCAACUCCUGUCAGGGGUA